UACAGAGGAGCCAAGCGUUGUCCGGAUUGACUGGGCGUAAAGCGCACGCAGGCGGUUGCGCGCGUGGGGGGUGGAAUCUGGCCGCUUAACGGCCAGGCGCCAUCCCAUACGGCGCGACUGGAGGGCUGCAGAGGUCGAUGGAAUUGCCGGUGUAGUGGUGAAAUGCGUAGAGAUCGGCAGGAACACCCAGGGGGAAACCAGUCGACUGGGCAGCACCUGACGCUGAGGUGCGAGAGCGUGGGGAGCGAACCGG
rnacentral:rRNA from 1 species